rnacentral:rRNA from 1 species
CCUACGGGCGGCUGCAGUGGGGAAUAUUGCGCAAUGGACGAAAGUCUGACGCAGCGACGCCGCGUGUGGGAUGAAGCCUUUCGGGGCGUAAACCACUGUUGCCCGGGACGAAACUCCUUUUUCGAGAGGAUUGACGGUACCGGGUGAGGAAGCACCGGCUAACUCUGUGCCAGCAGCCGCGGUAAUACAGAGGGUGCGAGCGUUGUCCGGAAUCACUGGGCGUAAAGGGCGCGUAGGUGGCUGGGUAAGCGUGUGGUGAAAGUCCGGGGCUCAACCCCGGAUCUGCCGUGCGAACUGCCUAGCUCGAGCAAUGUAGAGGCAGGUGGAAUUUCGGGUGUAGCGGUGGAAUGCGUAGAUAUCCGAAAGAACACCAGUGGCGAAGGCGGCCUGCUGGGCAUUAGCUGACACUGAGGCGCGAAAGCGUGGGGAGCAAACAGGAUUAGAUACCCUGGUAGUC